GUUUGCAAUGAAUCCAUAAAACCAUAUAUAAGCUUUCCCUUCCAAACACUUCUCAACCAUUCGUAGCCUUAGUUCAUAAGAAACUUGAUGGAGUUGGAAGUAGUUUCUCACUUUCGAAAGCCAUUUCUCUAGGUUCUUCUCCCUUAAACCGAGAGAGAUCAUUUUUAGGGAGUCUAUCAUUUCCAUUAAAUUCACCUCUAGCAUGAACAUCAUUCACAUUACUACUAUACCCAUGUGUAGUUAUCACACUCCCAGAAUUGAAAUCAACAUUAGGCCUCUCUAUUCCUUUAUUUUUCUGAUCUAUUUUCAAAUUUAAAGACAUUUGGGUCAUCAUGGCCACUAAAUUUUCAUAUUUCCGAUUCAAGUCCAACAAGACACCCUCAAAUUUUUCUUGACUAUGAACAAGUGCCUGGAGUGUUUGAUUUGGAGAAUCCAAUUUAUUCUCCAACGUGCUAGUAAGGGCUUUAAAGGAUAUACCUAAAUCCCCUAUUUCUAAAUCCGGCAUCGUCAAGUGCUCGUCCACCAUUUUAGCUCUAGUAUCCAUGAUUAGAAUUUGCCCAGUAGUGUACGCCUGCUCUGAUACCAUUUGUUAAGGUUGGAACUUGGUUUUGGUCUCUAUCGUAACUGUAGCUUAGAAAAUGAUGAUUUCCAACUAAAAUUUGCUGAAUUAGUAGCCAGUAAAAAAUAGAAAAUAGAAUGGGGAAGGGGAACACGAGAAAGUAAGAAGAAUGGAGGUGAGAAAAGUAGUUGAUUCAAUCAAUAAUUUCACUAAAAUUUUGCAAAAAAAGUCACACAUAGCCUGACUUCCUCCCUCAUGGCUGUACAUAGACAAGUAUCUA
rnacentral:lncRNA from 1 species